rnacentral:rRNA from 1 species
GUACUCGAGCGGCGAACGGGUGAGUAACACGUGAGUAACCUGCCCCUGACUCUGGGAUAAGCCUGGGAAACCGGGUCUAAUACCGGAUAUGACCGCCUCCGGCAUCGGAUGGUGGUGGAAAGUUUUUUCGGUUGGGGAUGGGCUCGCGGCCUAUCAGCUUGUUGGUGGGGUAGUGGCCUACCAAGGCGACGACGGGUAGCCGGCCUGAGAGGGCGACCGGCCACACUGGGACUGAGACACGGCCCAGACUCCUACGGGAGGCAGCAGUGGGGAAUAUUGCGCAAUGGGCGGAAGCCUGACGCAGCGACGCCGCGUGGGGGAUGACGGCCUUCGGGUUGUAAACCUCUUUCAGCAGGGACGAAGUUGACGUGUACCUGCAGAAGAAGCGCCGGCUAACUACGUGCCAGCAGCCGCGGUAAUACGUAGGGCGCAAGCGUUGUCCGGAAUUAUUGGGCGUAAAGAGCUCGUAGGUGGCUGGUCGCGUCUGCCGUGAAAGCCCGCAGCUUAACUGCGGGUCUGCGGUGGAUACGGGCCGGCUAGAGGUAGGUAGGGGCAAGUGGAAUUCCUGGUGUAGCGGUGAAAUGCGCAGAUAUCAGGAGGAACACCGGUGGCGAAGGCGGCUUGCUGGGCCUUACCUGACGCUGAG